rnacentral:rRNA from 1 species
CGUAGGGUGCGAGCGUUGUCCGGAAUUACUGGGCGUAAAGAGCUCGUAGGUGGUUUGUCGCGUUGUUCGUGAAAACUCACAGCUUAACUGUGGGCGUGCGGGCGAUACGGGCAGACUGGAGUACUGCAGGGGAGACUGGAAUUCCUGGUGUAGCGGUGGAAUGCGCAGAUAUCAGGAGGAACACCGGUGGCGAAGGCGGGUCUCUGGGCAGUAACUGACGCUGAGGAGCGAAAGCGUGGGGAGCGAACAGGAUUAGAUACCCUGGUAGUUCACGCCGUAAACGGUGGGUACUAGGUGUGGGUUUCCUUCCUUGGGAUCCGUGCCGUAGCUAACGCAUUAAGUACCCCGCCUGGGGAGUACGGCCGCAAGGCUA